GGUGAUCUAAGCCCACCCCUCCGAUAUGGGCGGAUAAACAAAUUGACAGCUCCACAAUGUCCGAUGCCAUCAGCCCCCUUCUCCGGCACCGCUUAUUGUAGCUUCAAGGGCUUCGUUUCCAUGGCGGUGGUGGCGGCCGUGGGUUCCGGCGGCCUCCCCGGCCUCAAAUCCGCCGAUAACUGUUCGCCACUCAGCCGCGCCGGCUUGGCUCGGAGCUUCCCCUGUUUGAUUUCUGCCUCUAAGAGAAGAUUAUCUUCUAUAUCUAUUAAAGUUCCUAGAGCUGCAUCUCCAACUGCCGUUGACGGCGGAGCUUCCAACAAAACCGAUUCAACUCCUACUCCCAAAGUUAUAAUAGAUCAAGACUCAGAUCCAGAUGCAACUAUUGUGGAGAUCACUUUUGGUGACCGUCUGGGAUCUCUUCUCGACACUAUGAAUGCCCUUAAGAAUUUAGGUCUGAAUGUCGUCAAAGCUAGUGUAUUCUUGGAUUCUUCGGGCAAGCACAACAAGUUUUCUAUCACAAAAGCUUCAACUGGUCGUAAAGUUGAUGACCCUGAGUUGUUAGAAGCAAUACGCUUGACGAUUAUAAACAAUCUGCUCGAGUAUCACCCGGAGUCUAGCACCCAAUUGGCUAUGGGAGCAACUUUUGGGGCUGAGCCACCAACCCAAACGAUUGAUGUUGAUAUUGCAACCCGUGUAAAUGUUUAUGAUGAUGGCCCUGACAGGAGCUUACUUGUGGUCGAAACAGCUGACCGCCCAGGAUUACUGGUUGACCUUGUCAAGAAUAUCACUGACAUAAACGUCACAGUACAAUCAGGAGAGUUUGACACAGAGGGAUUAUUGGCCAAAGCAAAGUUUCAUGUCAACUACCGGGGUAAACCGAUUAGUAAGCCUUUGCAACAGGUUCUUGCUAAUAGCUUGCGGUACUUCUUAAGGAGGCCAGCAACCGAGGAGGCAAGUUUCUAGCCACCUUAAACAGCAAAAAUUCUGAUCUGGAUUCAGAUUAAAUUUAAGGAGACAUACUAUUAUAUAUCAUUUAAGUUUCUUCUCUGUGGGCCCUUUUAAUUUCCCUUAAUUGGGAAUGAUAUCUAUAUUAGAUCUGGG
rnacentral:misc_RNA from 1 species